GGGGGCGGGUUGUUCGGGAUUAUUGGGCGUAAGGGCGCGUAGGCGGUGCGGUAAGUCACCUGUGAAAUCUCCUGGCUCAACUGGGAGUCUGCAGGCGAAACUGCCGUGCUGGAGUGUGGGAGAGGCCAGUGGAAUUGCAGGUGUAGCGGUGAAAUGCGUAGAUAUCUGCAGGAACACCCGUGGCGAAGGCGGCUGGCUGGACCGCAACUGACACUGAGGAACGAAAGCUAGGGGAGCAAACAGGAUUAGAUACCCUGGUAGUCCUAGCCCUAAACCAUCAGGACUUGGGGUGGCUCGCGUAGGCGAGUCGUCCCGUAGCUAACGCGUUAAGUCCUGCGCCUGGGGAGUACGGUCGCAAGACUGAAACUCAAAGGAAUUGACGGGGGCCCGCACAAGCGGUGGAACAUGUGGUUCAAUUCGACGCAACGCGAAGAACCUUACCUGGGCUUGAACCGCUACGGACCAACGGUAGAAAUAUCGUCUUCCCGCAAGGGACCGUAGUAGAGGUGCUGCAUGGCUGUCGUCAGCUCGUGCCGUGAGGUGUUGGGUUAAGUCCCUUAACGAGCGAAACCCUUGUCGCUAGUUGCCAGCGGGUAAUGCCGGGGACUCUAGCGAGACUGCCGGUGUUAAACCGGAGGAAGGCGGGGACGACGUCAAGUCCUCAUGGCCUUUAUGACCAGGGCUGCACACGUCCUACAAUGGCACGUACAAAGCGAAGCGAACCUGCGAGGGCGAGCAAAUCGCAAAAAGCGUGCCCCAGUUCGGAUUGCAGGCUGCAACCCGCCUGCAUGAAGCCGGAAUCGCUAGUAAUCGCGGGUCAGCAUACCGCGGUGAGUGUGUUCCUGAGCCUUGUACACACCGCCCGUCAAGCCACGAAAGUGGGGGGCAUCCGAAGUCGCCGUGGUAACCCGCAAGGGAGCUAAGCGCCGAAGAUGAACUCCGCGAUUGGGACUAAGUCGUAACAAGGUAAC
rnacentral:rRNA from 1 species